rnacentral:snoRNA from 1 species
GGAUGAUGACCGGUUUCGGGACUGAGCUAUGAUGACACCAGCUAUCGCUGACUCCUCUUA